CUCGGGUAAGUCCUACACGACCAGCUCCCUCCAACUCCCCCAGGUCUUGACCGAAGCAAGGGUCCGAGGUUGUAGCGGUGCGAUGUAGUAAGCUUGCCCU
rnacentral:SRP_RNA from 1 species